GGCCAGGGGAUGUGAAUGGAAAGGCUACAGUUUGAACUUCAGGUCAGGUUUCUUGCGGUGUCGUUCUGUCAGAGUCACCUGAUGACCUAGUUGAAAAUGGAGCUUCCUGGACCCAUUUCCUCUGCCUUCCCCUCAGGUCAGAUUCUUUGCGGGGUAGGACCAGGCACAUCUGAUGAUGAAGCCUGUCAGGGUUUGAGAACCGUCUUCUGUGGGAAUGGGGAGUGCUGAAAAAUGUGAAGCUGCUAAUUGCCAGGGUCAAAUUAGGUUUUAGAAAGAUGACUGUGGCAGUGGAGACAGAGGAAAAGGAUGUGACAUGAGGCAGACUGGAGUUAGUGAUUGUUCAGGAAAGAGGUGAGGGAAGAGAUUGAAGCUGCAGUGAGGGGGGUGGGUGAGGAGGGGUCAGAUGUAAAUCCUAUUUAGGAGAUAGACGUGUCCAGACGUAGUGAUCAACUGGAUGUGUCCCAAGUUGGCACAGCUGCUUGGUUUCUGGUAGAAAUUGAGAGAAACUUGCAUUCAGUAAGAUACUUCAGGAGCGCUGUUCUCGAAGAGUUCAUGGUGGCAGGUGUGGGCUCGGGGCAGCUUCUUUGUGAGCACUGGCCAUCUCUGGGUUCCUACCUGAGCUUCUAACCAGCUUCUCUUCUUUAUAUGUAGACCACAUCGAUGAGGAGGCUUGGUGAGACUUUCUCUUUCCUGUUGCCAUGACCUCUUACCUAUCUUUCUUCAUCACUGCUUAAAUUUGAUGAACUUGAUUGUCCUAAAGCAAACCUGCGGUUUGAAAACAUCCAUAGUUACACCAUCCCAGCUGUUCCAAAAAGGUGGAAACUCUAGGCUUUUUGGUAAGGUUCUAGGCUUUCCAAGGUUGGGGAGACAAGUAAUCCUGCACUGCUGAGCAUAUACACCUUCCAGAUAAUCAUGCAGCAGCUACUUGGGCCAGCUCUGUGCAGAACCAUCACUUGCCUCUCCCCUUAACUAACAUUAUUGGGCUGAUGGUAGAAUUCAUCAUCCUCCAAAGUCUGGAUUUGGAAUCACUAAGCUCAAUGCAGACUUUUUCCUUUAUGUUACACGUGAUAUUAGUUAUUAUUUUUCUAUGAUGCUUAAGUUUAUGAACUGCAUGGGUAAAAAUUAGGUCCUCACUCCCCCUUUGGUGAAGACUGGUGAUGGACACCUUGAGGAAGAAAGGAUAACCUUACAUCCUGAACAGGGAACCAGUUUUAAUUGUUUGCAUUGGGCCUCUGGUGUAUCUUGAAAAUGGUAGUGCUUGGAAGAGUGAGCUGGGGAAAGGCUGGGGUACACUUUUGUGAGCCUGGGUCACAUUCCACUUACUGUUUCCUGACUUUUCUCAUCCUGGAAAGCUACACUAAAUUGAGGCAGAGUUCUGUUGACUUUAUUUUUUUUUUAUAGGAUUCAUGGGUUUGUAAUUUAAUUUAUUUGGUUGUCUUGGAAGGAAAUAAGGGAAGAGCCAGGCAGCGGUUGCUAAACCUGUCUUCCUUGCUGUCAUUCAUUGUCCUCCAGGGUACCUCCGAACCUCAUUGACAGUCCCCUCCGUGUCUGCUGCUGGCGCCCCCUCCCUUAGUAAUUAAAGAGAGAAGGAGAAUGUCAAUUCAGCUUCUCACUGAGAGUUGGCACUAACCAUGGAUCUGAUUUUAGGGCAAGGCCUUUCCCCUCUAGCUUCUUUAAAUCCCCUAUUAAUUCAGACGCUUUAUUUACUGAACAAACAAGCUGUGAUUUCAGAGAGUAGUGAACAAGCGUUUUACUUCUUGGGGGGAAAAGCUCUUUGUGUUAUUAUGCUCAUGCUGAAACAUAAGACAUUUUCCUUCAUUCUCUGUGACAUAAUUGUACCCCUGCUCCCCGUCCCCAAACCCAUAUCUGAAGUAGAAAUAAGACUACAGUCAUGUCCUGGUGUUUGGAUGAAAGUUCUUUUCACUGGAAAGAACUUUCAGGAGCCUUUCCUACAGAAGGGAGUCCCUUGAGUUGGAGCAAGUGUGCAUGAGAGCAAGCUGCUCUGAGGAGCCCAAGGGCACGGACCUCCCUGCCAUGUGGGGCACUGCUGAUACCCUUCUGUGUGGCAGCCAGCGCCUCUGACCUACCACGCAAGGGAUGCUUGCUUCUGCCCACAAGCGGGGCCAUGGCAGAGUAUAUAGUUCGUUCCGUGAAGUACUAUCACGUGAUACUUCCAAAUCCAGUUCUACCUUACUUCCCAUACUUAGACCCAUAAAUAAGUAUACCAGAGGUGCUAACUUUGAGAGUUCAUGAAGCAUGCAUGUAUUGUACUACCUCCUUUACUAUCUAAAGCACUUCCCACAGUCACAGUAUUCCAGGGCUAGAAGAGACCCUGAGAGAUCAUUUCCCAUCUCCUCAUUUAUUAGAAAAUGCAAAAGAUCCAGAGAGGUGAAAGGACUUGCCCCAGGUCUGAUAGUUUCUGAGCAACACAGUAAGGACUCGAACCCUCUUCCAGCUCUUUCUCUAGAAGUGCUUCCCCAGCUGCUGGGCAGGGAUGACUCAAGUUGGCGUGUGGCCAAGUGUGGCCAGAGCCACCUGCUCAGAUCACCUGGGGCCCACUGAGGUGCAGACCCCUGGAUCCCACCUCAGAAUGACUGGAUCAGCAUCCAGGAGGGGUGGGAGUCUGCGACCUGCCUUUAAAGCCAACUUGGCCCGUGACUGUCAGCGCACUGUUGGAGAAGUGCUGAAAGAAGUCCUCAGGAUUUCACUUGGGCUCUGCCCUUCCCUUGUUGAACCACAGACUUAAUCCUCAAAGUGUUUCUUUGGCCCUAACUGCUUUAUAUUUGUGCUUCUCAUGCUGAAGGGCACAGCUUGGCUGACAAGCGGGAAUUGCAGGGAGGGUCUGGGUGUUCAAGGAAUGGACUGUAGUGGUGCAGUUAUUUAAUGCUGACUGACCUGGACCUCUGUCAUCUUUUCUCUUCUCCUAGACUGCUUCUUCAUUAAGGGACAACAACAGUUGUCACUGCUUUCCUGCAUAUCUCUCCUCUUAUUGGCAUUCUCCCUCCACCACCAACCCUAUAGCUUUACCAUCAUAAACUUUUCAACAGGAUCAUUUGGGGGAUGGGGGAUGACAGCUGGACUAUCAGUUAAGGUGACUGGUAACUCAGAAUUAAGCAAGAGGGUGGGACAACUGGACAUUCUUAGUAUGCGGGUGUGUGUUAACUGCUUUAAUGUGUACACAGAUGUUUAGGCCUUAUUUGAGAUCAUAAAUACACUUGUUCCAUGACUAUAUGAAAGUAUCCAGGUUGGAUGGGUCUCUUGCCAGUCCCUGUGGUGAAACUUCCACAUGGAUAGAAUUAUAAGACUGUCCUUUGGAUCAGGGCCGAGAGGAGUCAUGGAUGGACCCACACCCCAGAAAUGGGUUAGAAUGUGUUGGGGCAUGCCUGGCCUAAUGUGCUUGGUGCCUAAACCAUGGGAGCACUGAGGUUAAUUUCAUCAACAGUUUCAUUAGCCCCAGUUAAAAAAAAUUUAAGUCUUGGGCGCCUGGGUGGCUCAGAUGGUUAAGCGUCUGCCUUCGGCUCAGGUCAUGAUCCCAGGGUCCUGGGAUCGAGUCCCACAUCGGGCUCCCUGCUCCUUGGGAGCCUGCUUCUCCCUCUGCCUCUCUCUCUCUCUCUCUGUCUCUCAUGAAUAAAUAAAUAAAAUCUUUAAAAAAAAAAAAAAUUUAAGUCUUUCAUAUGCUUGUGAGUCCCCGAAAGACAAUGUGAGGAAUCGCCGACAGUAAAUGUCACACGUGAAGGAUGUUAUGUCAGUGCUGAUGCUGAUAGCAGUGAAUUGCAUCAAGAGAUAAGCUAAAAAUAAAGGUGGGCUCGGUUUACUUAGGGCUCUGGAGUCAGACCUGAUUCAAAUUCUAGACCUGUUUGGCUAGCCUUAGAACUGGAAAAAGAGGAAAUGGUAAGACCUAUCUCUUAGAAUUGUUUAAUUAGAUAAUAUAUUCACACAUACAUAGGUGUAUGUUCAGUAGACUGGCUGGCAUAGAGUAAUGAGGGAAUAGAUGUUACGAAUUGUUAUUAUUGCCUGAGACAAAGAGUGCCAUGUAGUAAUAACCUACUUGAUAAUAAUGAUGGUGUGAAGAGGUGAAGGGAGGUGGGGGGGCAAAUAAUGACAUAAGUAGGCUGAAAGAAAUCUGGAUUUUACUUCCUCAAAGGCGGACCUUUGAAGAGGUUGUUUGUUGAAUUCUGGAUUAUUCUUUGGCUGGUCUGUUGGCUGGUAGUCACAGGAAGCCCUGGAGGGAAUGGAAGUUGACGGAAGAGGUGGUGGGUCAUUGGAGGAAAGGGGUGCUUGAUACAGGAGACCCAGCACUUACCUCAGUCAGAAAACAAGAUUCUGCGUGUUAGAAAUGGAUGUUCGCUUCCUACUAAUGGAUGAGCAGCUACAUCACUGUCCUAAAACACAAGCUCCUUUUUCUCCAGGGUUUUAUCAGCAUCAUUUUUUGGGUGCUAUUUAAAAAAUUAAAUUCCUUAACUUUCCCCAUCUGUGGCUAUGGAAGCUAGCCCUUUGGUAUCAUGUAGGUUGAAGCAAAACUACCAUUAAGAUAAGAACCAAUAUUUGAGUGCCUCUUUACCUUUCCUUUCCUUGAGCAAUUAUUAGGGUAUUUUGGAACCUUUGCUCCCUCUUAACCACUUGUAUUGUGAAGGUACAUGUGACCAUAUUUCCCAGGUUAAGCUAGCAUCUAGUCUAUUGACCUGAUAUAGUAAACAUCUGUCUUCAGACUGUUGUUCUCACAUGGACUAUCUUCUCUGUUAUUUGACCAUACUUCAAGCCUUUCAGUAAGCAUCCAGGCUGAUGGGUCACCAAUAGGAAGGAAAGAAGAGUGUCCCAAAGAUGACUAAGUUGAUACACCAGCGUUUCUGGAGAUUUCUAUGGUCAGCUGUGCACCCCUAAAGGUUAGGUUCUAGAUAAAUGCAGAUGGCCUGCCUUGGUAUCAUUAAGGUUGUGUAUUCCCAGAGACUCACCUGAGAUGGCCUUGCCUUGCCUCAGGGUAAGCCAGACCCCUGUGAUACAUCUUCCAGCUCUCUUUUCUAGCUCUGAGGUAACCAGUGGGUGCAGGUUAAACCUCAGUUUUCCACCUGGUACUCUGGAGUGGGCCUGAGAUAAUGCAGAAACUGGUAUUCACGUUGACCUGGCACCCAAACGUGCUGUUCACAAUGAAAAAAAAUUGGAGUGGAGGGCACAGGUUUGAUGCUGGGGAGAUAAGGGUUUUGCCUUGGGAAUCGGGGCAUAUGAGUCUCAGCUGUGGUUGACAUCUUUUAGAUUUUGGAAAAGAGGUUUCACUGCUUUAAGUAGUUACAUGGCAGCCUGUUUUAAAAGGGCAUAGUAGGGUGUGGAUAUUUAAGGAAGGUCAGCAUGUUUUGUCCCGUACUUCUGAGGGAAGCCCGGCCAGUGCUUGCUCUGCAGAGCCCGUUGGAAUAUCUUUCCAUUGAAACAGGGCCCUCCUCCUGAAUGGCCAUCCGGGCCAGCCUGCCCAUGGCACGUGAAUGUGGACCAUGAAACUGGAGGAGAGGAAAAAAAAAUGGAGGAAAGGAGUCUAUUGUACAGUUGUCAUAGGAAAACAUAGUCAUUUCUCAAAUCUUCCAACUAUAGCAAGAGUUUUUUUUUUUUUUUUCAUCUUUUUAAGGUUCUAUUCUCAAAGAGCACUAGUUAAUAAUUCACACACAUUUACCAGUUAAGUAGAAAUUUCAUUUGAAGCAACAGGUUCAAUUAAAUGUGUUUGGAAAUGAGGUGCAUAAAUUGCUCUGGAAGGAAUGGAUGUGUGUGUGUGUGUGUGUGUGUGUGUAACUGUAUGUUUUAUACAUAAAUAUUUGGCUAAAAGUCAGGAUUGAAACAUUUUCUAAAGGUCUAGUUGCCAGUCACAUGUCUAAUUAGUCACACAGAGAAAAUAAAACAGUUGCUUUGUCACUUAAAAGCAGGAGGAGUUUGCAUUUUUAUCCCAGUAUUCUUGGAAAGAGUGACGUCUAGUGAUUUCUGAAGGCUUAUAGUAAAAGAGGAAGGGUCAUGAAGGGGGUCAGUUUCUUGGCCAUUAAGACAUGCUGCAGAGAGUCAGCCUUUGGUGGUGGUCAGCCCACACCUGCUGUGCCCUUGUGGGAGGCAAAAGGGCAUGAUGCCGGCUGGCCUCUAGGAUUCUAGUAGCUCUUAUUGGGUAAGAACAGGAACAGAUGGGUGUGGGCGUGGGCACGUGUACUUAACAAAAUAAUUGCACACAUGGCCACAUUGAGUUCUACAGAGAUAAUCUGUCAAAUUCUACAGGACCAGAGAAGAUAAAACAAGGAGCUAAAAGCAGGAUAGAGGAGGUAAGAAGUAAAACGUUUGCAUAGUUGUUUCAGGGGAUGCAAACAUAAUGGAUCACUUUGCUCUUAAUACUUUCUAGAGAAAUUUUUCUUAAACCAUUAAUAAAAUAAGAGUACGUCGGGAAGAAAAAUCCCCCCACAGAUUGGUACUGGUUGAGUAUGUGUUUCAUAGAAACAGAUUGACCAUAAUUUUGCCCUUUGUUUGAUCUUGGGGAGUCAUGUUUAGGAGAGUUCGUCCCACUGUGUCUAUUACUGCAGAAAGACAGUGGGUUUUCUGCUGAACUUUGCUCUAGAGGGAAGAGUAAAGGUUGAUGCCAUUGGAGCAUGGAGGUUCAGAAUAUCGGCACUGUUGGGGUAGCUGGCUGGCUCAGUCGGUGGAGUAUGUGACUCUUGGUCUUGGGAUUGUGAGUUCAAGCCCCAUAUUGGGUUAGAACUUAAAAAAAGACAAACCGCCUAAGUUAAAAUCUUGGCCCUGACAGUAGUUUUGUGACCUAGGCUAGCAUUAAACUUUCUAAACAUCAGGCUCUGUCUCCAUAAAAGAGAGAUAGUAACAAGACUUAACCUCACAGGAUGGAUACAAGAUGAACAGAGUUGAUGUAUUUAGACCAGUACCAGUGCAAUAAUCUGCAUUCAACAAAUGUUAGCCAUGACUCCUUACUAUUACUAUUAUUGUUGGGCUUUGUUAGAGUGGUGUACACUUUCAGAAGGACAUGACAUUUUGAUUGAAAUGUUUUUUUCUAAGUAAGCAAGCUGCAGAUUCCAAAUAAUUUACUAAAGUGGAGAUAAAAAAUUUGUCAUUGAAGUAAAGCCAAUUUUAUUAAGAUUUCAAAAAAGUCUCAUGUUGAUAUAUAUAUAUAUUUUAACUUUGUUAUUUUUAUUUUAUUAUGUUAAUCACCAUACAUUACAUCAUUAGUUUUUGAUGUAGUGUUCCAUGAUUCAUUGUUUGCGUGUAACACCCAGUGCUCCAUGCAGAACGUGCCCUCCUCAAUACCCAUCACCAGGCUAACCCAUCCCCCCACCCUCUCCCCUCUAGAACCCUCAGUUUCUCAGAGUCCAUAGUCUCUCAUGGUUUGUUUCCCCUCCGAUUUCCCCCCUUCAUUUUUCCCUUCCUGCUAGCUUUUUUUUUUUUAUUUUAAAUAUAAUGUAUGAUUUGUUUCAGAGGUACAGGUCUGUGAUUCAACAGUUUUACACAAUUCACAGCGUUUGGCAUAGCACAUACCCUCCCCAAUGUCUGUCACCCAGCCACUCCAUCCCUCCCCCCCCACCACUCUAGCAACCCUCAGUUUGUUUCCUGAGAUUAAGAAUUCCUCAUAUCAGUGAGAUCAUAUGAUACAUGUCUUUCUCUGAUUGACUUAUUUUGCUCAGCAUAAUCCCCUCCAGUUCCAUCCACAUCAUUGCAUAUGGCAAGAUUUCAUUCCUUUUGAUGGCUGCAUAAUAUUCCAUUGUAUAUAUAUACCACAUCUUCUUUAUCCAUUCAUCUCUUGAUGGACAUCUUGGCUCUUUCCAUAGUUUGGCUAUUGUGGACAUUGCUGCUAUAAACAUCGGGGUGCACGUUACCCCUUCAGAUCCCUACAUUUGUAUCUUUGGGGUAAAUACCCAGUAGUGCAAUUGCUGCAUCAUAGGGUAGCUCUAUUUUCAAUUUUUUGAGGAACCUCCAUACUGUUUUCCAGUGUGGCUGCACCAGCUUGCAUUCCCACCAACAAUGUAGGAGGGUUCCCCUUUCUCCACAUCCCCGCCAACAUCUGUCAUUUCCUGACUUGUUAAUUGUAGCCAUUCUGACUGGUGUGAGGUGGUAUCUCAUUGAGGUUUUGAUUUGGAUUUCCCUGAUGCUGAGCAAUGUUGAGCACUUUUUCAUGUGUCUGUUGGCCAUUUGGAUGUCUUCUUUGGAAAAAUGUCUGUUCAUAUCUUCUGCCCAUUUCUUGAUUGGAUCAUUUGUUCUUUGGGUGUUGAGUUUGAUAACUUCUUUAUAGAUUUUGGAUACUAGUCCUUUAUCUGGUAUGUCAUUUGCAAAUAUCUUCUCCCAUUCUGUCGGUUGUCUUUUGGUUUUGUCGACUGUUUCUUUUGCUGUGCAAAAGCUUUUUAUCUUGAUGAAGUCCCAAUAGUUCAUUUUUGCCCUUGCUUCCCUUGCCUUUGGCGAUGUUUCUAGGAAGAAGUUGCUUCGGCUGAGGUCAAAGAGGUUGCUGCCUGUGUUUUCCUUUAGGAUGUUGAUGGACUGCUGUCUCACAUUGAGGUCUUUCAGCCAUUUGGAGUCUAUUUUUGUGUGUGGUGUAAGGAAAUGGUCCAGUUUCACUCUUCUGCAUGUGGCUGUCCAGUUUUCCCAACACCAUUUGUUGAAGAGACUGCCUUUUUUCCACUGGACAUUCUUUCCUGCUUUGUUGAAGAUUAGUUGACCACAGAAUUGAGGGUCCAUUUCUGGGCUCUCUCUUCUGUUCCAUUGAUCUGUGUGUCUGUUUUUGUGCCAGUACCAUACUGUCUUGAUGAGUACAGCUUUGUAAUAGAGCUUGAAGUCCGGAAUUGUGAUGCCACCAGCUUUGCUUUUCUUUUUCAACAUUCCUCUGGCUAUGCGGGGUCUUUUCUGGUUCCAUACAAAUUUUAGGAUUAUUUUUUCCAUUUCUUUGAAAAAAGUGGAUGGUAUUUUGAUAGGGAUGGCAUUAAAUGUGUAGAUUGCUCUAGGUAGCAUUGACAUCUUCACAAUAUUUGUUCUUCCAAUCCAUGAGCAUGGAACGUUUUUCCAUUUCUUUGUGUCUUCCUCAAUUUCUUUCAUGAGUAUUUUAUAGUUUUCUGAGUACAGAUUCUUUGCCUCUUUGGUUAGAUUUAUUCCUAGGUAUCUUAUGGUUUUGGGUGCAGUGAUGAAAUGGGAUCGACUCCUUAAUUUCUCUUUCUUCUGUCUUGUUGUUGGUGUAUAGGAAUGCCACUGAUUUCUGUGCAUUGAUUUUAUAUCCUGCCACUUGACUGAAUUCCUGUAUGAGUUCUAGCAGUUUUGGGGUGGAGUCUUUGGGGUUUUCCACAUGAAGUAUCAUAUCAUCUGCAAAGAGUGAGAGUUUGACUUCUUUGCCGAUCUGGAUGCCUUUUAUUUCUUUUUGUUGUCUGAUUGCUGUGGCUAGGACUUCUAAUACUAUGUUGAAUAGCAGUGGUGAUAGUGGACAUCCCUGCCGUGUUCCUGACCUUAGGGAGAAAGCUCUGUUUUUCCCCAUUGAGAAUGAUAUUCGCUGUGGGUUUUUCAUUGAUGGUUUUUAUGAUAUUGAGGUAUGUACCCUCUAUCCCUACACUCUGAAGAGUUUUGAUCAGGAAAGGAUGCUUACUUUGUCAAAUGCUUUUUCUGCAUCUAUUGAGACGAUCAUAUGGUUCUUGUUCUUUCUUUUAUUAAGGUAUUGUAUCACAUUGAUUGAUUUGUGGAUGUUGAACCAACCUUGCAGCCCAGGGAUAAAUCCCACUUGGUCGUGGUGAAUAAUCCUUUUAAUGUACUGUUGAAUCCUAUUGGCUAGUAUUUUGGUGAGAAUUUUUGCAUCCAUGUUCAUCAAGGAUAUUAGUCUGUAAUUCUCCUUUUUGAUGGGGUCUGUGUCUGGUUUUGGGAUCAAGGUAAUGGUGGCCUCAUAAAUCGAGUUUGGAAGUUUUCCUUCCAUUUCUAUUUUUUAGAACAAUUUCAGAAGAAUAGGUAUUAAUUUUUCUUUAAAUGUUAGGUAGAAUUCCCCUGGGAAGCCAUUUGGCCCUGGGCUUUUGUUUGUUGGGAGAUUUUUGAUGACUGCUUCAAUUUCCUUAGUGGUUAUAGGUCUGUUCAGGUUUUCUAUUUCUUCCUGGUUCAGUGUUGGUAGUUGAUACAUCUCUAGGAAUGCCUCCAUUUCUUCCAGAUUAUCUAAAUUGCUGGCAUAGAGUUGCUCAUAAUAUAUUCUUAUAAUUGUUUGUGUUUCUUUGGUGUUGGUUGUGAUCUCUCCUCUUUCAUUCAUGAUUUUAUUUAUUUGGGUCCUUUCUCUUUUCGUUUUGAUAAGUCUGGCCAGGGGUUUAUCAAUAUUAAUUCUUUCGAAGAACCAGCUCCUAGUUUUGUUGAUCUGUUCUACUCUUCUUUUGGUUUCUAUUUCACUGAUUUCUGCUCUGAUCUUUAUUAUUUCUCUUCUCCUGCUGGGUUUAGGCUUUAUUUGCUGAUCUUUCUCCAGCUCCUUCAGGUGUAGGGUUAGGUUGUGUAUUUGAGACCUUUCUUGUUUCUUGAGAAAGGCUUGUAUUGCUAUAUACUUUCCUCUUAGGACCGCCUUUGCUGCAUCCCAAAGAUUUUGAACAGUUGUGUUUUCCUUUUCAUUUGUUUCCAUGAAUUUUUAAAAUUCUUCUUUAACUUCCUGGUUGACCCAUUCAUUUCCUUAGUAGGAUGCUCUUUAGGAUCCAUGUAUUUGAGUUCUCUCUGACUUUCCUCUUAUGAUUGAGUUCUAGUUUCAAAGCAUUGUGGUCUGAAAAUAUUCAGGGAAUGAUCCCAAUCUUUUGGUACCGUUUGAGACCUGAUUCGUGACCUAGGAUAUGAUCUAUUCUGGAGAAUGUUCCAUGGGCAAUAGAGAGAAUAUGUAUUCUGUUGUUUUGGGAUGGAAUGUUCUGAAUAUAUGUGUGAAGUCCAUUUGGUCCAGUGUGUCAUUUAAAGUUUUUAUUUCCUUGUUGAUCUUUUGCUUAGAUGAUCUGUCCAUUUCAGUGAGGGGGUGUUAAAGUCCCCCACUAUUAUUAUAUUGUAGUCAAUGUGUUUCUUUGCUUUUGUUAUUAAUUGGCUUGUAUAAUUGGCUGCUCCCAUGUUAGGGGCAUUGAUAUUUACAAUUGUUAGAUCUUUUUGUUGGAUAGACCCUUUAAGUAGGAUAUAGUGUCCUUCCUCAUCUCUUAUUACAGUCUUUGGUUUAAAAUCUAAUUUGUCUGAUAUAAGGAUUGCCACCCCAGCUUUCUUUUGGUGUGCAUUAGUGUGGUAAAUGGUUUUCCACCCCCUCACUUUCAAUCUAGAAGUGUCUUUGGGUCUGAAAUGAGUCUCUUGCAGACAGCAUAUCGAUGGGUCUUGUUUUUUAUCCAGUCUGAUAGCCUGUGUCUUUUGAUUGGGGCAUUUAGCCCAUUUACAUUCAGGGUAACUAUUGAAAGAUAAUGAAUUUGGUGCCAUUGUAUUGCCUGUAAGGUGACUGUUACUGUAUAUUGUCUGUGUUCCUUUCUGGUCUAUGUUACUUUUAGGCUGUCUCUUUGCUUAGAGGACCCCUUUCAUUAUUUCUUGUAGGGCUGGUUUCGUGUUUGCAAAUUCCUUUAAUUUUUGUUUGUCCUGGAAGCUUUUUGUCUCUGCUUCUAUUUUCAAUGACCACCUGGCUGGAUAAAGUAUUCUGGGCUGCAUAUUUCUCUCAUUUAGUGCUCUGAAUAUAUCAUGCCAGUCCUUUCUGGCCUGCCAGGUCUCUGUGGAUAGGUCUGUUGUCAAUCUAAUGUUUCUACCAUUGCAGGUUACAGACCUCUUCUCCCGAGCUGCUUUCAGGAUUUUCUCUUUGUCUCUGAGACUCGUAAGUUUUACUAGUAGAUGUCAGGGUGUUGACCUAUUUUUAUUGAUUUUGAGGGGGGUUCUCUGUGCCUCCUGGAUUUUGAUGCCUGGUUCUUUCCCCAAAUUAGAGAAGUUCUCUGCUAUAAUUUUCUCCAAUAUACCUUCUGCCCCUCUCUCUCUUCUUCUGGGAUCCCAAUUAUUCUAAUAUUGUUUCAUUUUUUGGUAUCACUUAUCUCUCGAAUUCUGCCCUCGUGAUCCAGUAGUUGUUUAUCUCUCUUUUUCUCCGCUCUUUAUUUUCCAUCAUUUGGUCUUCUCUAUCACUAAUUCUCUCUUCUGUCUCAUUUAUCCUAGCAGUUAGAGCCUCCAUUUUUGGUUGCACCUCAUUAAUAGCCUUUUUGACUUCGACUUGGUUAGAUUUUAGUUCUUUUAUUUCUCUAGAAAGGGUUUUUCUAAUACCUUCCAUGCUUUUUCCAGGCCCAGCUAGUAUCUUUAAAAUCGUCAUUCUGAACUCUAGUUCUGACAUCUUACUAAUGUCUGUAUUGAUUAGGUCCCUGGCAGUCCGUACUGCCUCUUGUUCUUUUUUUUGAGGUGAUUUUUUCCCAUCUUGUCAUUUUGUCCAGAUGAGAAUAGAUGAAUGAGAGAACAAAAUGCUAACAGGGUAACAGCGACUCCAGAAAAAUAUACACUAAACAAAUCAGAAGAGACCUGAAACCGGGGAAAAGACAGGGAAAGAAAAAAAACAAAACAAAAAAACCCAGAAUGUGAUCAAAUAUGAUCAGGCUGGUGCAUAGAUCAGUGCCACACACUAGAUUUUGGGCGUAUUUAGAAGAAUGUGCCUCCCAAAAUUUUAAAGAAAGAAAAACUUAUAUAUGUACAAAUAUAAGGGUAAAUAUGAUGAAGGGAUGGAAUAUGACUGUAAAGAUGAAAAUUAUAAAAGAUUUUAUAAAAGGAAUUGAGAAGAAGUUGUUUGAAAAAAGAAAGAAGAGGAUUUAAAAAAAAGGGAGAGAAUUUGAUCAGGCUGGAGACUAGAAUAAAGCCAUACAUCAGAGAUUUAGGGUAUAUUUUGGUCUGUUAGAAGAAACUGUAUCCCAAAAUUUUAAAGAGAACAACUUAUGUAUAUAUACCAAAAAUAAGGUUAAGUACUAGGAAGGGAUAGAAUGUGACUCUAAAAAUGAAAAAUAAAGAAGAUUUUUUUAAAAAAGGGAUUGAUAAGAUGUUUGUUGAAAAAGGGAAAAGAGAAAUUUAAAAAAAAGAAAAAAAAAUUAAAAAAAUUAACUUUGAAAGACUAAAGAAUCAUGGGGAAAAAGCCAUGGAUUCUAUGUGCAGUAUUCCCCUAGCGCUGGAGUUGUGCGGUUCUCAUUGAUCGGUAAACUUGGUCUUGGCUGGCUGCUCUUGCUGAUCUUCUGGGGGAGGGGCCUGUUGCUGUGGUUCCCAAAUGGCUUUGCUGGAGGCGGAAUUGCCCCGCCCUUGCCCGGUCCGGGCUAAGUAAUCUGCUCGGGUUUGCUCUCAGGAGCUUUUGUUCCCUGCAAGCUUUCCGCACAGCUUUGGAGGACGACAGUGAAACGGCAGCCUCCCAAUCUCUGCUCUGGAGGAGCUGAGAACUCAGGGCCCUGCUCUUCAGUGAGCCCUAGAGAAAAGCAGUCAAUCACUCCCGGCUCCCCCGGCUCUGGCCACACUCUGUGCUCACCUGGCCAGUGACCAAGCUUUUCUAUCUCUGGCACCCGACUCAGUGUGGAGUCUCCAAACCCAGCAGAUCCCUGUGGUGCGCUCCCGCGCCGCUCCUCCAGGGGGAGGAAGGGGAGUCUCCCCGGAUCUGCCGCUUUUUGGGUCCCUGCUGGAGGAGCAGUGGCCCGACUGAGCCACGGAUCACGCUUUAUGGCAAUCCCGAGCUGAGAGCCCGUGCCUCGGCUCCGUCUCUGCAGCUGGCUUCCCCGCUCUGAUACCUGGGAGCUCUGCCGCACUCAGGCACCCCCAGUCUUUCUGUGACCCCGAGGGUCCUGAGACCACAUUGUCCCAGCAAGGGUUCCACCCCCCGCUUAGCCACUAGAGCGAUGUCCCUCAGCAGAGCCGGUAGCGGCUGAUGGAGUCCCCCUCCCCUGCCGUCUAUCCUCCCGAAUAUCGCUGCGGAUUCACUUCUCCACACACACGUCCUACCUUCCAGAAAGUGGUCGCUUUUCUGUUCAGAGAGUUGUUACUAUUCUUUUCUUUGAUCUCUUGUUGAGUUCGUAGGUGUUCAGAAUGGUUUGAUCCCUAUCUAGCUGAAUUCCUGGGAUCAGACGAAAUUUAGGUCUCCUACUCCUCCGCCAUCUUGCUCCUCCCCUCACGUUGAUAUAUAUUUUUUAAAGAUUUUCUUUAUUUGUGAGAGAGAGAGAGAGAGACAGAGAGCACAAGCAGGAGGAGCAGCAGGCAGAGGGAGAAGCAGGCUCCCUGCUGAGCAGGGAGCCCGAUGUGGGACUCGAUCCCAGGCCCCUGGGAUCAUGAUCUGAGCUGAAGGCAGCCGCUUAACCGACUGAGCCACCCAGGCGUCCCUCAUGUUAAUAUUUCUCAGCUGUUCCUCACGAGGAUAGGAGUUUCCUCUCUUACCUCUGAUGCCAGAGUGGAACUUAAGAACAGCUUAGUUCACAGUAUCAGAAUUGCAGCUGUAUGCCCCAAGUCGGAUUGCUUCCUCAUCAGCCUGCAGUCAGCUCUGAGCCUAUGUUUCUUCCACACUCCUAUCCCUACAAUAUUCUGCUUUUUUAAAAAAAUUACUUAGUUCCAGUUUCUCCCUACUCCAUUUCAAACUGCCUCUCCACCCUCCCCACAGCCUUGUAGGAGCUUGUGAGCCCUAUGGGCAGAUAGGAUAACACAUAUGUUUCUGGUGGUGCCAAAUAUGUAAUUGUGCACCUUCUAUGGAAAGCAUUUAUACAAAAUUUAAAAUGUAAAAUAUAGCCAUCAUAUUUUACACUUAUUUAGCUAACCUUUUUAGUGGUUUUAAAUUGGUUGCCAUUUAUAAGGCUUAAAGUCAAGGGUGCAAAGAAUGUCCUAUUAAAAAAAAAAGUGGUUUUAGUGGAUUGGUAGAAAUCCUGACUUCAGUUACCUAUCUGAAGUUGUUUGGUUUCAUAACUUGUUUUCUGGCAGCUGUUUUUUUUUUUUAAGAAUAAACUUGACUUUAAAAAAGACAUUCAUCAUAAAUUCAGUUGAUAUUUUCUGUCCUAAUUGAAGGUGAUGUAUCAGUUUUCCAGGUGCAUAUGUAUAGCACAGAACAUUACCUUGUUGAGUCUAUUGCAUAAGUUGUCUAACUCUCUUUAUAGCCAAGUCUUAUAUCCAUGAGAAUUGUCAAAUUUUUCCACUGUUGGGUAAACCUUUGGCUUGCUUUGGACAUUAAUGCAGUGUGACUCAGAAUCCUCCUACGGUCAUGCUGGCUCCAUAUUUACUUUUAAGCAAAGUUCCCACAAGGUUCAGGUGCCUUUGCCUUGACUCACAUCUCUGCCAAGUAGACCAAAGACGUUGACUUAUUUUUCCAGACCGCUCUAUAUUAGCAGUGACACUAGGCUCAUUGGUAAGGGUGCCUGCAACUUUGACACACUUACUCAAAUAGGUAUGAUGUAACCUUAGGAAUGUUCUGGCCAUCAUACCUCCUGAAGCACUCUCUGGAAGCAGUUCUGUUCAUGGCUUCAGAGCAAGUUUGGGUCAGCUGAGCCUUAAUGGCCAGGCUAAUCUCUAACCAUUUUGUAGACUUGAAUUCUUCAGUGGUUGAACCUGCAGGGAUGGCCGGGACCCUGUGCUCUGGUCUCUGCUGAAAUAAUCUCGUGAGCUGUUAGAGGAGAGACCAGGGCCAGAUUCGGUCUGUACCCUAGUCCAGAUUGCUUCAUUCCCAGAGAGAGAGAGAGGAAGUUGGACUCCUUGAAAUUCUCGAGUUUCCUGAGCUCCAUGGUGAUGGCUCUGCCUCAGUCUAUUCUUGCCUUCCUUCCAAACCUACCACAGUUUCAUCUUGCCUGCAAAACUUCAGUUCAGCACCUAACUGUUACUUUGACCCGCCUUGAUCUUAAAAAUGCAGUGGCUUCGGGGCACUUGGGUGGCUCGGUUGUUAAGCGUCUGCCUUCGACUCAGGUCGUGAUCCCAGGGUCCUGGGAUCGAGCCCCGCAUUGGGCUCCCUGCUCAGCGGGGAGCCUGCUUCUCCCUCUCCCACUCCCCCUGCUUGUGUUCCCUCUCUCGCUGUCUCUCUCUCUGUCAAAAAAUAAAUAAAAUCUUUAAAAAAAAAAAUGCAGUGGCUUCAAACUUGUUGGGAAUUCUAGGUCUGCCCUUGCCCACCCAUGGCAGUGACCUUCAAGGUGCUUGUCCCUGAAGUUGAUGAAUAACAUCUCCAGUGACUAUGUAACCUUAGCUCUGUGUUUCUAAUUAAACAGUUCACUUUUUAUCCUAACAGUCAUUAAAAGGUACAGUGUCUGGUAGUGUAGCAUAUUGAACAGCACUAUCCACAUGGGAAGCUUAAGUACUACAAGGGGGUAGCAGGAUUUCAAAUUACAUUCCCUUAGAUCUUACUGAGUAGGAACACAGAUCUUUUGGGUUGUUUUUUCACAUGAUUUGGGUACACCUAGAAUUGGCCUUCUCUCUUGGAAAGCUUUACGUAUAUUGUCGGCAUGUGAUGUGGAAACUUUCUGGGGCAGUCAGAAUCCUUGCAGUUGCAUUAAUCAUUAUAAGUAAUAAUUAAUCUGUGUGGGUUGAUGGAAAAGCUCUGUUCCCCCACUAAUUGGGCAUGUGACCUUAGACGAGUCAUUUAGCUUGUAAUGCCUCAGUUUCUUCAUUUGUAAACUGAGACCCCUGAUAUCCACCUGGUCUACUUCACAGGAUCACUCAUUUGAGGAUUAGAUAGGAAUAAAGAAGUAUUUGAGUAACUUUGAAAUAUUUUGUCAGUAUAAGGUGUUUAGUGCUAUUAAUAAGGAUGAAUAUCUGGGAAUGAGAUUAAUUUUCGUGUUUCUCAGAUUUCAGAAACCAUGUAACCUUUGUUGAGAAGCUGUAGAAGUUUGUUUUCAUUGUCCAAGAUUAGAAAGUAUUUGCUGUGGUUUUCUUCUGAUUAUUGCUUCCCACCCUUGAGCUAAAAUGUCACAUGCCAUUAGCUAUUAAUUUUCAGAAGAUUUUCAAACUCCCUUUUCUUCUAUUACUAGAAUGUUCUGAAAGAUACCUCACUGCUCCCUUCUCUUGCCUUGAUUAUGAUUACUUCAUCCAAGCUGUGGGCCCUUUAUGGGCUUUCUUCACAUACUUGUUUGA